rnacentral:lncRNA from 1 species
GCUUAAUGCACGUGCCCCACUUUCCAUUCUCAUCCUCGCCCUUGCCUGGCCUUUGAUAGGAGGGAGGAGUUUCCCUUCCCUUGUUUUAGGCUUCCUGCUGAUUCCUUUACCAUUUCCUGCUAAGGACAGAGUCUCACAGUCUAAUAGCCGUGGUGCAAGAACACAAAGAGUGUACAUUUUGGCCCUCCUCAGAAGCCCCUCACAUCAGCCAGAAGUGUGUCCUC